AUGAAUGCUGGCAUUGUGCCUUAGGCAUGCAAGUCGAACGGAGAAACUUUGAAGCCGCAAGGCCGAGAAGUCUAUCAGUGGCAGACGGGUGAGUACAAAGCAAGAAUGUACCUCUUGGUGGGGAAUAGCUGCUCGAAAGGGCAGGUAAUACCGCAUAAGUUUGUAAGAAGAAAGGCGUAAGUCGCCGAGAGAUCAGCUUGCUCGCUAUCAGCUAGUUGGUGGGGUAAUGGCCUACCAAGGCGAUGACGGCUAGGGGGCGUGAGAGCGUGGCCCCCCACAAGGUUACUGAGAUACGGAGCCUACACCUACGGGUGGCAGCAACCGGGAAUUUUGCGCAAUGGACGAAAGUCUGACGCAGCGACAAUGCGUGCGGGAUGAAGGCCCUCGGGUCGUAAACCGCUGUGGUAAGGAAUGAACUCAAUGACAGUACCUUACUAGAAAGUACCUGCUAACCACGUGCCAGAAGCCUCGGUAAUACGUGGGGUACAAGCAUUAUCCGGAUUUACUGGGCGUAAAGCGUUCGUAGGCGGUCAAUUAAGCGAUGGGUUAAAGCCUUCGGCUCAACCGAAGAAAUGCUCAUCGAACUGAUUGACUCGUGGGAGUUCGGGGAUAUUGGAAUUCUUGGUGGAGGAGUGAAAUCCGUUGAUAUCAAGAAGAAAACAAACCAAUGGCGAAGGCAGAUAUCUAGAACUUUCCAGACGCUGAGGAACGAAAGCUAGGGGAGCGAAAGGGAUUAGAGACCCCUGUAGUCCUAGCCGUAAACGAUGAACGCUAGCUAUUUGGAUUUUCCAAGUGGCGCAAGCUAACGCGUUAAGUGUUCCGCCUGGGGAGUACGACCGCAAGGUUAAAACUCAAAGGAAUUGACGGGGAAGCGCACAACCAGCGUGCCAUGUGGUUUAAUUCGAAACGAAACGAUGAACCUUACCCAGGCUUGAAAUGCUAUCGUUUAGUCGACUGGAAACAGUUGAUGAUCCGCAAGGAUGGUAGCACAGUUGUUGCAUGGCUGUCGUCAGUUCGUGUCGUGAGGCGUCCGCUUAAGUGCGGUAACGAACGCAACCCCUGCUGUAUGUUAAAUAUCCAUAUGGGACUGCCCUGCAAGUUUUGCGGGGAGGAAGGAGGGGAUGAUGUCAAGUCAGCAUGAUGCUUACGUCUGGGGCUACACACAUGGCGUAAUGGAUGGGACAACGGGGAGCGAGGCCGCGAGGCGGAGCAAAUCCUAAUAAACCCAUCCUCAGUUCGGAUUGCAGGCUGCAAUUCGCCUGCAUGAAGGGGAGUUGGUAGUAAUCGCAGAUCAGCACUACUGCGGUGAAUACGUUCUCGCUUCUUGUACACACCGCCCGUCAAGUCAACAAAGUCAGUAGCGCCCGAAGUGGAUUCCCUUAACCGCAGGAAAGGGGCCCCUAAGGUGAGACUGGUGAUGGGGGCU
rnacentral:rRNA from 1 species